GUGUUGUGGUGGAAAGAUUUAUCGGUGCAGGAUGGGCCCGCGGCCUAUCAGCUUGUUGGUGGGGUAAUGGCCUACCAAGGCGACGACGGGUAGCCGACCUGAGAGGGUGACCGGCCACACUGGGACUGAGACACGGCCCAGACUCCUACGGGAGGCAGCAGUGGGGAAUAUUGCACAAUGGGCGGAAGCCUGAUGCAGCGACGCCGCGUGAGGGAUGAAGGCCUUCGGGUUGUAAACCUCUUUCAGCAGGGACGAAGCGUGAGUGACGGUACCUGCAGAAGAAGCACCGGCUAACUACGUGCCAGCAGCCGCGGUAAUACGUAGGGUGCGAGCGUUGUCCGGAAUUACUGGGCGUAAAGAGUUCGUAGGCGGUUUGUCGCGUCGUUUGUGAAAACCCGGGGCUCAACUUCGGGCUUGCAGGCGAUACGGGCAGACUUGAGUGUUUCAGGGGAGACUGGAAUUCCUGGUGUAGCGGUGAAAUGCGCAGAUAUCAGGAGGAACACCGGUGGCGAAGGCGGGUCUCUGGGAAACAACUGACGCUGAGGAACGAAAGCGUGGGUAGCAAACAGGAUUAGAUACCCUGGUAGUCCACGCCGUAAACGGUGGGCGCUAGGUGUGGGUUCCUUCCACGGGAUCUGUGCCGUAGCUAACGCAUUAAGCGCCCCGCCUGGGGAGUACGGCCGCAAGGCUAAAACUCAAAGGAUUUGACGGGGGCCCGCACAAGCGGCGGAGCAUGUGUAUUAAUUCGAUGCAACGCGAAGAACCUUACCUGGGUUUGACAUACACCGGAAAACCGUAGAGAUACGGUCCCCCUUGUGGUCGGUGUACAGGUGGUGCAUGGCUGCCGUCAGCUCGUGUCGUGAGAUGUUGGGUUAAGUCCCGCAACGAGCGCA
rnacentral:rRNA from 1 species